AGAGAGAGAGAGAGAGAGAGAGAGAGAGAAUGUUGAUAUUGUUCUAAGAUUACAAAGUAUCUUUAUUAGAUGAAGGAAAGCUUGUAUAUUAACAAUUUCACGUGAGUGUGGAGGCAGCGCCGUAGCAGCAGCGCCAGCGGCAAGUGAGACCUGUGUUCGAACUGCUAUAUUGCUUCACAGCACGUACAGUCCACACGGAAUUGUCCCGGGGUCUGGCUGGCAUGGCUUCAUGAAGCCACCAGCCAAACAAACUACAUUCCGUGAGCAUGAUUCGUAAAGCAGUGUGGGCGAGUCGCCACUUCGGAUUACAGACAGUCACCAUCAGGUGAAUGGAGUGGAGAUCCAGCAUGGUGUUUCAGGCUGGAUGAGGCUACACCACAUGAGGACAGUGGGCGGUAGCUGGGGUCGGGCAUUAGCUGAUUGUUGCCUUGCUACUGGCUGUCAGCUGACCCAGCAGGAUCCCUAGUCUGGAAAAUCAGCAUGGUACCUCCUCAGAUCCCCCCAAUUGGCAGAGGCAAAACACCAGAGUCACCUCCAUUUUGGGACAUCCUGAGGAAGGAUUGGAGAAAUAGAAUAAGAUACAGAUAUGAGAUUGUGAUCAGUGGAGCACAACAGAGAAGAUAGAGUAAUAGCAUAAGUAGAAGGAUUAUAGGUAAGGAAAAAUUCAAUAAUGUAAUAUGUAAACCCUUCUCAGAUCCUCCAAUUAGCAGAGGUAAACUGUCAGAGGCACCUUUACCUUUGGUUAUCCUGAGGAGGGAUUGGAGUGAUAGGACAAGACAAGAUACAGAUAUGAGGUGGUGAUUGAGAGCCUAACAGAAAAGAUAGUGGUAGAACAGGCAGAAGGAUUAAAGGACAGGAAAAAAAGUCAAGAAUAUUGUGUAUAUCUCCAAGACAGUCAGUGUUGCAAUAAUUUGCUUCAGGUCAUGAAUGAUAUUGAAUUUAGUUUAACCUGUACAGCUGAACCUGACAUUGUGAUCAUCUCUUUGUGUGCAUCAUCAUUUAAUUUGUUGAUAGUUGAAAUUGAAGAUAUGAAACAACAGGGAUACCAACAGAAACCUUCACAUUUCUCUUGCUUUAUUUUUAAUGUUUUGCCUUUCCAUAGAAAGCAUCUUCAGGAUUUACAAAAUAUGAAAUAACUAAAUUCACAAAUGUAACAGUAAGUUUUAUAUGGACAUUAUAAAAAGUUGAAAGAUAAAAAAAAAAAAAAAUUUAGAGUAAAAAAAUUCUAAACUGAAAUACACAGCCAAUAAUGCACAGACAAUGUAAAAAAAAUACAGAUUACAAUAACAAAACUAGAAAAUAAAAAGAGCAAGGCAAAAAGACUGUAUUAAGGGAACCAAUCUGUGUGUGCACUACAAGGUGGAGAGGAAGGAUUGGCAAUACAGGUGGAAGCAAAUUAAGAGAACUAGGAGGAGGAAGUGAAAUAACACUCCAAAACCUAUUGUAAGGUGUGGAGCCUGACCUUACUGUUAUAUUUGUGUAUUUAGUUCUUUUAUAUUUUGUAGAUCCUGAAGAUGCCUUCUAUGGAAAGGUGAAAUGAUGAUGAUAAAGCAAGAGAAAUGUGAAGGUUUCUGCUGGUAUCCCUGUUGUUUCGUAUCAUUCAAUUUGAUGUAUACAUUUAUUUAGCUAGGAGUAAUAGCUUAUGAAAUUUAUGAUAUAUAAGAGUUACUUGUAAGAGAUCUUGCAUUAUGAAGAUUUGUUUCAAGUUUUUAGCUUUACCUUUAUGAACAUUAUCUAGUUUAUUCAGUCUUUACCAGCCUGCUAAAGUCAUGCAGUCGACAGUCAUUUGUGUCAGACUUGAGCCAUCUCACUUGUGGUCUCACCAGUCUAUUCCAAACCUUUCAUUUUGUAGUUAAUGCUCCUGAUUGCACAGACAUGAAGCAUUGCACUUCCUACAGAUUUAAAUUCAGUCAGAACAACAAGGUACGGCUGUUGUAACCAAAUGUGGUAGUUUAUUCCUUUAUAUAGAUGUGUCAAGUAGGAAAGAAAUGUGAAAUUGGUUUUAUAUACAUUUGAAACAUUCAGACUGAAUAUUUAGAUUGUACUAAACCAGUUUCUCAACUUUGAUUGUAGUUACUGUGUUUUUGUUAGACUAGAGAAUGAUGGUCUGCAUCUUAAAGGUUUCAUCUUAAUAUUCAUGAUGAAUUUAUAGGUAGUGUAGUAGGACAACAUGCUUUUUGCAUUCAUACCCAUUGUGCUUAUAAAGAGUUGUACUACCCAUAGUGUUUAUAAAGAAUUGUACUAUACUUAGAGGACUCUGGAGAUCAGGCAGGUAAAAAUUAAAGAUUGAGAAUUGUACUAAGUUGAACUGAGAAUUUUUUGCAUUCAUACCCAUUGUGCUUAUAAAGAGUUGUACUACCCAUAGUGUUUAUAAAGAAUUGUACUAUACUUAGAGGACUCUGGAGAUCAGGCAGGUAAAAAUUAAAGAUUG